UACAGAGGUCUCAACCGUUGUUCGGAUUCAUUGGGCGUAAAGGGUGCGUAGGCGGUCGCGCAAGUCGGAUGUGAAAUCUCGGGGCUCAACCCCGAAACUGCAUUCGAUACUGCGUGGCUAGAGUGCUGGAGGGGAGACUGGAAUUUACGGUGUAGCAGUGAAAUGCGUAGAUAUCGUAAGGAAGACCAGUGGCGAAGGCGAGUCUCUGGACAGCAACUGACGCUGAGGCACGAAGGCCAGGGGAGCAAACGGG
rnacentral:rRNA from 1 species